AUGAAAGAUGAGAAAACUUCAAGAAAACUGUCAGCUCCAUCUUCCACGAGGUUUCAGAUAAAAGCAACGCCGAUGUUUCAUGGAAACAAGAAGAAAAGGCAAUUCCUCUUACAAACCAAGGUAAAACAAAUCAGUUCGCAUAUCUAUAUCUAUCUAUAUUAGCUAUAAUGUUUGAGACGUUUUCAAUAUGGCUCGACAGCCUGAUAUGUAGAUCAGAAGUUUGGGUUUUAAAAAAUUAAAUUUGGAUUUUAAAAAAUUAGGUUUGUUUUACUAGAAGUGAGAGGAGUAGAGAGAGGGUGAGCUGCCAACCUUGUAUGUUUUGAUGGGCAGAGGACUUUCUGGCCGAGGAUAGUGUCUGCAACCCUGCCACACUGCCAGAAAUUUCCAUAGACUUAUACCAUUCUCUGUUUUGAAUUCUCUUUUUAAUUUUGAUUAGGAUUAAUAGCAAGUCAAUAAUUUUCAAAAAGAGUUUUGAAAAUUAUGAUGAUGACAGUCCCUGUUUUUUUAUCUUUUAGUAACUUUCUGCUUUUCAUGAUUCUUCUGAGCUUCCUAAAAGUAGUUCAACAAACACGUUUAUUAGUUUCUUCAUGCCCAGGGAAUGUAAUGUGUCUCAGAUAAAAAACUUGAACUUAUUUAAGGCAUAAGUUGCCAUCUUAUAAUAUUCAAUGCAGUAAUCACUUCCUGGGUAGAGAAGCUGAAAACAAACUAGAUUCAGAAUAUUUAUCUUCUUCGUGUUCAUUCAUUGUUAUUAGUGUACUUCUUUUAUUAUGCAUUCUAACGUUAUUAUUAUCACAUUCUCUUUAUUUUAAUAUUAUACCAUUGGACCCAAGAAGCACAUCCCUUGUUUUCAUUGCCUUUGUCUUAUUUUGAAAUAAGUUUUGAAGGUCUUAGUCUUCUUAGUAAGUCUGAGCUCAUUUGGUUUCAUCAUUCCCAAUCCUUUUAUGAUCCAUGCCAUGGUUUUAUAUUCUCUUUUGGUGGCAUGUUCUUCCUUCCUUCUUGGUUGCUUAGGUAACCUAAUCUGCUAUUCAUUCACAACUUUAUGUUUGAACCCUUUAGUGAGGUCCCUAAGAAAUCACGCUUUUUCUUUUUCAUCUUAAUUACAAUAAUU
rnacentral:lncRNA from 13 species